CUAACAGCCCCAAGUCUGUUUCCAGGCAGUGGGCGACCCAGGCUUGAGAACUUGCCCCAGGCUCUCUGCCUCCCAGCUGCAAAAGAAAAGGGCAUGGUUCUUCCCCUGCCUGUGGAGUCUGCUCACUGGAUUCAUGCCAUCCCCUGAGUUCUGGCUAGGAGGCUUCUCGCCCCAGUUCACCUGGAGAUUUCCUUCUCCCUGUGGCAUUUCCACUGACUCCUCUAGCUGCCCUCCCAAUGGGUCCCUGUAGUGCCAGGCAGGAAUGGCCUGCUUGGGGACCCAGCAAGCUCCCAAGGCCUUUCCCGCUGCUUCCUCUACCCCUGUAUUUCACUUGGCUCUCUAACUUGACUCAGCUCCAGGUAAGGUCAGAAACUUCUCCUGCAAACAGACCUUCAGUUUCUCCAGUCGGGGUGUGUGUUAAGGAGAAAAGGAUCUCCCUUUCCCACUUCUGCAGUUGGGGUGCUCACAGUAUUUGGGGUGUCUCCCAUGUCCUGCAGGAGCAGUCUGCUUCCUUCAGAGAGUCUGUGGGUUCUCCCGAGAUUGCCAGUUUGUUCUUGCAGUCAAUCUGGAGCUAAAAUUCAGUAUGCAAGCCUCCGCACGCUGCUCUGUCCGUCCGAGUUGGAGCUACAAUCUAGUCCUGUCUCCGAUCCGCCAUAAUGAUCCCUGCUCGAGUCGCCUAAUUUAAACCUGCCUAAAUCAUCUUUUGUAAAUGAUUUGCAGCAACUUUCUGUAAUAUGUAAAGACCUUCGGCAACAAUGAAACAUUUCUCUCAACUCCUGGCCACCUCAUCCGAGGCUGGUAACACAGGCCGUUGCGGGGCCCCAGCACGCAGAUCCCACUUAGAGAAUCAUUGGUUUCAUUACUUGUGUUCCCACUAGACUUUGAGCUCUGGGGGGAGGGGGAGGGUCACCUGUCCUAUUCACCACUAUGUCCCUAAGGCCUAGAAUGGUACCUGGCACAUAGUAGGUAUUCAAUGUAUUCUUAGUGAAUAACUCAAGUGGUUCAGUGAACAAGCAGCCAGUGACAAAGGAAGGCAUAUGGAAAGAGGGGUCCACGGGAUGAUUGGCUGGGUUGGUCACUGUUGGCCCACUGGCAGGGUACAGGCUGUGAAGUCUGCAAGCAUUCCGUGGACCCACAGGGGCACAAGGACGACUCCUGCUGUCCAGGCUUAUGGCAGUCAGGAGAGGCCCAGGGCAGUGGCCGCUGCCCAGGCAGAAUCCACCCUUUAUCUCGGGACUGCUCAGCAUGGGCUGUGCCCCUUUUCUGCCUGGCAGCCCCUCUGAUCUCUAACCAGAUUCCCUGUGAGGGUCCUGGAUGGGAAUUCCGAUGGGGCCCAUUGAUGGGGGUUCCUGGGUAGGGGACAGGCCACCUGAGGGGAGACGGAGAGAGACCCCGAGGAGGCAGGUUUCGAGGGGGUGGCUGGCUGGCCUCCGUCCUCUGCCAGUGCAGGUCCCUAUGCAGCGUGCAGCCUGGACCAGGUAUCAGAGCAAGGCCAGCAGGGACUCGUGCCUGAAAUAGACACGGCCUCUGCAGGGGCUCGGGAAUAGGAGAAAGACAGGAGGCAGCAAGUCAAGCCUGCCAGGCCUCCAAGGUUGGCCCCUGCUGUGUAUGACACUUGACUUCAAGAGAAAGCCUCAGCACAGAUAAGGAAACUGAACUUUUCUGGACUUUUCAGCCUGGCCAGGAAAAAUGUUGUGGGCAAAACACUCAGGACAGACAGCAGUGGGCCAGGGGUGGGGGCUGGACCCAGGAGCCUCCAGGACACAGGGAGGAGGUGACCGCAAGGUCAGACAGGAAGCCUGAGCCGUGGGACUCCUUGGGGGCAUUUGUGGGGAAGGCGGGGAGAGUCAUGGCAGGGCCAAGAGAGAGCUGCAGAAUGAAAGCACAGCCAGGAGAGACCGGAAGAGGAGAACCGGAGACUGAGCCCAGGAUGGGGAUUCUGUGAGCCUGGGCCUGGCCCGCCUGCUGUCUGAGGGAAGCCAUCUGGUCCAGCCAAGUUGGAAGGCGUGGUAGCUUUGGGAGACAUCCUCAGAAUUCCCUAUCUUUUUUUUGAGGUGGAGUGUUGCUGUGUCGCCCAGGCUGGAGUACAGUGGCACGAUCUCGGCUCACUGAGACCUCUGCCUCCCGAGUUGAAGCGAGUCUUCUGCCUCAGCCUCCCAAGGCACCUCAGCUUUUGAAUGUGUGGCCACCGCCACCUUCAUGGCCCUGGGCAGCUCGACACUAAAUUUCUAACCACCCCUUCCGGUAUGAUGAGGCUGCCUGGCCAUCCUAGGUGGAAUCAACCACACUCAGCUCUGUGGAAGAAGGAAUGCCCAACACUGUUCCCCAGAGCCGCCUGCAGCAACUACACCCGCCCACCUCGGCUGCCGCUCCACCUGCUCAGGCCUGCCUCCAGAGUUGUCAGAUAGGCGGCAAGCCAAAGGGAUCCUCAUGUUCACAGAAAGUCUUCCUGAAACCCAAGUGGACACCCAGAUCAGAGACCAGGAAGUGAAACAGAUGGAGAAACUCCCUGGAAAGUUCCACUGGGAACAAACACUGGAUUAUUCAGACUAGCCUGGACCGUGAAAAAAAAUUCUACUAGAAGCAUUGUGAGCUGAAUCCAGGUGCCCUGGCUUCAAAUCCUAUCAGAGGUGGAUUCUGACAUGAGGUAGAUUAUGAGCCCACAGCCACCAGGAAGAACCAGUCACAGGCAAGAGCUUUUAGCCCUGCCCAGAAGGAAAGGACCACCAAGUUCCCAAAAGCAGCAGACAAGUGUCCUCCAGGAACUGAGAGACUCAGCCUGGUACUGUGGGCUAAUAAUUACACCGGGCUUUUUUGUUUUUUAGAGAAAAAUAAGUUGUAAAAUUCCAGCACUUUGGGAGGCCAAGGCAGGUGGAUCCCUUGAGCCCAGGAGUUUGAGACCAGCCUGGACAACAUAGUG